CAGGAGUUGUCCGAUUUAGUUUCGCGUCGUGAGGUGAUUUGUAAGCUAAAAAGUAAGUCGAUCGAACUAUCGUGCGAUCAAUCAAACGUGCUAGCAGUAGGUAGUGUGCGAGUGUGGAGCGUAAAACAGAGUUGUGGCAAGUGUGCCGGAGACCCGUCACCUCACAGGUUUUAGCCAGCGACUACUCCUGACCCCACCUUGCAGCUUCAAAGUUUCCCGGCGGUCCACUUUGCCGGAAGGGGCCGCGAUCGACAUUUUCGCGCCCAGGCAGGGCGAAGGCAAAGCAAGUCAGCAGCAACAGCAACCGUUUUCCCGCUGUCGGUGACGACCGAGAGC